GCGUUGGUGGUUCAGUGGUAGAAUGCUCGCCUGCCACGCGGGCGACCCGGGUUCGAUUCCCGGCUAACGCA
rnacentral:tRNA from 2 species